rnacentral:snRNA from 1 species
AUCCUUUCUUGCUGUUUGGCGAAAAUCAAGCACAGUUAUCUGUUCUUUCCACUUUAAUAUUUGAUGUGUCCUAUAUUUGGAGACCACAGAUAAGAUGGAUUUUUGGGAGGCGGGACACGCAAUAGGAGCUUGUCCAUGUAUUGACCUGUUAUCUAGGAACGGUGCAUCUCCU